GGCCUAACACAUGCAAGUCGAGCGGCAGCGGGAAAGUAGCUUGCUACUUUUGCCGGCGAGCGGCGGACGGGUGAGUAAUGCCUGGGAAAUUGCCCAGUCGAGGGGGAUAACAGUUGGAAACGACUGCUAAUACCGCAUACGCCCUACGGGGGAAAGCAGGGGACCUUCGGGCCUUGCGCGAUUGGAUAUGCCCAGGUGGGAUUAGCUAGUUGGUGAGGUAAUGGCUCACCAAGGCGACGAUCCCUAGCUGGUCUGAGAGGAUGAUCAGCCACACUGGAACUGAGACACGGUCCAGACUCCUACGGGAGGCAGCAGUGGGGAAUAUUGCACAAUGGGGGAAACCCUGAUGCAGCCAUGCCGCGUGUGUGAAGAAGGCCUUCGGGUUGUAAAGCACUUUCAGCGAGGAGGAAAGGUCAGUAGCUAAUAUCUGCUGNCUGUGACGUUACUCGCAGAAGAAGCACCGGCUAACUCCGUGCCAGC
rnacentral:rRNA from 1 species